UACACUGAUCUGGGAUAUCACUAAUGACCUGGGAUGUCUCUCUAAUACCCCAGGUGUGUCUAAUCUGGAAUGUCUGUCUUAUUCCAAUGUAUGUCUACCCUGAAGUUGGAUGUCUUCCAAAUUCACUGUGUCCACACUGUCCAGCAAUGUCUCCCUUAUUGCUCAGGCAUGUCUACCCUCACUGAGGAUGUCUCCCUAAUUUCUCAGGAUUGUAUAUGCUGGCUUUGGAUGUCUCCAUGAUUACUCAGAUGGGUCUACUCAGACUUGGGAUUUCAAUCUAAUGACCCAAGUGUGUCUCCACUAACUUGGGAUGUUGACAUAAAUCCCAAGUUAUGUCUACCAUGACCUGGGAUAUCUUCCUAGUUCCCAAGGUGUGUUUACACUGACCUCAGAUGGUCCCCUAAUUCCUCAGGUGAGCCUACACUGAUCUGGUCUAUUUUCUCUGGUGUGCUGUCUCUGACCUAGGAUGUCUACAUAGAACCCCAGGUGUUUUUGUUCUAACCUUGUUUUUUUCCCCUCUGUUUGUAAAAGUGUGUCUAGCCUGAUGGCUCUCUAGUAUCUCAAGUAUGUCUACUUUCCCAAGAGUAUCUACCCUGACCUGGGAGAUAUCCUUAGUUCCCCAGGUGUGUCUAAACUUAUUUCGGUUGUCUAUACCCCUUUGGGAUGUCUCCCUAAUUAUCCAGGUAUGUUUUCUCAAGAGAUAUCUCCUUAAUUCUAAUGGUGUAUCUACUCAAAACUCAUGUGUCUCCCUAUGCCGCUGGAUUUUCUAAUCUGACCUGAAAUUGAGGCAUGUCUAAACUGGUGUGGGAUAUAUCUAAUUCUUAGAUGUGUUGAUUCUGUAAUAGUUUGCCUUUAUAAUUCUGUAAUAGUGUCUAUCCUGACCAGUGUCUCUCUAGAUACCCAUGUGUGUCUUGUCUGACUUGGGAUAACUGCCUAAUAGUGCAAGUAUAUCUAAACCGAAAUGGGUUAUCUUCCUAAGUCCCCAUGUGUGUCUACACUACCUCAGAUGUCUCCAUAAUAAAGUAGGCAUGUCUACACUGGAACUACCUUCUAAUUUCCCAUGGAUGUCUACUCUGACUUUGAUGUCUCCAACGUAUCCCAAGUGUGUUUAUACUGUCCUCAGAUAUUUCACUAAUACCCCAGGUGUGUCUAUUCUGACAUGGGAUAUUUCUUUACCUUCCACAAAUGUCAUCUAACCUGAGACGUCUUCCUAAUUAAGCGUGUCUACACAGAACUGAGAUGCUUCCCUACUUCUCAAGAUACGACACUGACAUGGGAUGUUUUCUUAUUUCCACAGUUCUGUAUACACUGACAUGGGAUGUAUCCUUAAUACCUGAAGUGUGUCUUCACUGACCUGGGAUAUCUCCCUAAUUGCCCAGGUGUCCCUUUCAAACCUGGGAUAACUCCAUAUACAUCAGAUGUGUUUACUUUGACCUGGCAUGUCUUCCUAACUCCCCAGUUGUGUCUAUGCUACCUGGGUUAUCUCCCUAAUUCCUUGGUGUGUCAACACUGUCAUUCAGUGUUUCAUAUCUCCGUCUUUUAGCAUGAUUUGGGAUUCUCCUAAGUCCCCAUGUGUGUCUACUCUAACACAAAUAUUUCACAAACUCAGCUUGUGAGACUACACUUAGAAUUCUUAUUAAUUUCACAGAUGCAUCUUCUGUGACCUAGGGCGUAUCUCUAAUUCCCGAGUGGAUCUUCUUUGCUCUUACUCAUCUUCUUAUUUCCCCAGGUCUAUGCACCUGGGAUGUCUCUAUAAAUUACCAGGAGCAUCUACAAUGACCUUGGAUGCAUCCUUAAUUCCCCAGCUCUGUCUACGCAGACCUGUGUAGUCUCCCUAAUUCCCAGUUGUGUCUGCAGACCUUACAUGUCUUCCUUUUCCCCCAGGUGUGACUACACUGUCCUGGGAUAUCUCUCUAAUUUCCUAGCUUUGCCUACACUGACCUGGCAUGUGUCUAAGACUGCAGAUGUGACUACUCUGACCUAGGAUGUCACUUUAUUCCCUAGGUGUUUCUACUCUACCUGUGAUGUCUUCCUAUUUCCCCAAUUUUGUUGAUCUUGACAUUGGUGGUCUCUUUAAUUACACUAGUAUAUCUACUCUGAUCUAAUGAUGUUUCCCUAAUUCCACUGGUAUGUCUACACUGAAAGAUGAUGUCUACUCUUACCUGGCAUGUCUCCUUAAUUCCCCAUAUGUCUCUACUCAGACAUUGGAUGUCUCUUUAAAUCUCCAUGUGUGUCUACUCUGACCUGGAAUGUCUAAUUUCCCAGAAGGGUCUACACUGACCUUGGAUUUUUUUCCUAUUUCCCCUGGUAUGUCUCAUAUGACCAGAGAUGUCUCCUUUAAUCCACUGGUGUGUCUGUUGUAACCUGGAUUGUCUCCGUAAUUCCCAAAGUGUAUCUCCACUGACCUUGAAAUACUAUUUCCUAAGGUGUCUACACAGACCUGGGAUGUCUCCCUGAAUCUUAAUGUGGGUGUAUUAUGAGUUGGCAUGUCUACUUGUUCCCCAGGACUGUAUAUCUUGACCUGGUGUGUAUCCAUAAUUCCACAGGUAUGUCUACACUGACCUGUGAUGUCUUCAUAAUUUCUUAGGUGUGUCUACUCUGGCCUGUAUCUUACUAAUUCUGGGUAAACCAGUGCUCUUACAUGGGAUGUCUCCUUACCUUGGCUUGGGUUGUCUCUCUUUUUCCUCAUGUUUGUCUAUCCUGACCUGGGAUGUAUCUCUAAUAUCCCAGGGGUGUCUUCCUUAACCUAGGAUGACUCCCUAAUCCCCAGAUGUUUCUACCCUCACUUGGGAUUUAUUCAUAAUAACUCAAGUGUAUCUAUACUGAAAUGAGAUUACCUUCUAAUUCUUCAUGUAUAUUUACUUUCAUCUGGAAUAUCUCCCUAAUUCAUACAUACAGGUAUGUCCACCCUGACUUAAGAUCUAAUUCCCCAGGUGUGUCUGCUCUGGCCUGGUAUGUACUCAGUUUCCCAGGUGUGUCUACACUGACACAGGAAGUCUCAUGAAUUCCCAAUUGUGUCAUCUUUUACAUGGUAUGUCUCCCUACCCAGACCUGAGUUGACUCCCUUAUUCUCCAAGAGCAUCUUCCCUGAGUUGGUCUUCUCAACAGUGCCCCAGCGGUAGCACUGGGAUAUAUACCUAAUUCCCUAAUGAAUCUAAGCUGACCUGAGAUGUGUCCCUGCCUCACCAGGUGUGACUAUUUUACUUAGGAUUUUUUUUUUA